UACAGGGGGUGCAAACGUUGCUCGGAAUCAUUGGGCGUAAAGCGCACGUAGGCGGAUUCUUAAGUCAGGGGUGAAAUCCUGGAGCUCAACUCCAGAACUGCCUUUGAUACUGGGAAUCUCGAGUCCGGGAGAGGUGAGUGGAACUGCGAGUGUAGAGGUGAAAUUCGUAGAUAUUCGCAAGAACACCAGUGGCGAAGGCGGCUCACUGGCUCGAUACUGACGCUGAGGUGCGAAAGCGUGGGGAGCAAACAGG
rnacentral:rRNA from 1 species